UGGGGAAUCUUGCGCAAUGGACGAAAGUCUGACGCAGCGACGCCGCGUGGGGGAUGAAGGCUUUCGGGUUGUAAACCCCUGUUGCCCGGGACGAACUUCUCCUUUCGAGGAGAUUGACGGUACCGGGUGAGGAAGCACCGGCUAACUCUGUGCCAGCAGCCGCGGUAAUACAGAGGGUGCGAGCGUUGUCCGGAAUCACUGGGCGUAAAGGGCGCGUAGGUGGCGCCCCAAGUCAGUGGUGAAAGCUCGAUGCUCAACAUCGAGUCGGCCACUGAGACUGGGGGGCUCGAGCACUGUAGAGGCAGAUGGAAUUCCGGGUGUAGCGGUGGAAUGCGUAGAGAUCCGGAAGAACACCGGUGGCGAAGGCGGUCUGCUGGGCAGUAGCUGACACUGAGGCGCGACAGCGUGGGGAGCAAACAGG
rnacentral:rRNA from 1 species